GACGAACGCUGGCGGCGUGCUUAACACAUGCAAGUCGAACGGAAAGGCCCGGCUUUGGUGGGGUGCUCUAGUGGCGAACGGGUGAGGAACACGUGAGUAACCUGCCCUUGACUGUGGGAUAUCUUCAUGAAACUGGGGCUAAUACCGGAUAGGAGCUCCUGCUUCAUGGUGGGCGUUGGAAAGUUUCGGUGGUUGGGGGUGGACUCGCGGCUUAUCAGCGUGGUGGUGGGGUAGUGGCUUACCAAGGCUUUGACGGGUAGCGGGCCUGAGAGGGUGACCGGCCAAAUUGGAACUGGGAUGCGGCCCAGCCCACUACGGGAGGCGGCAGUGGGGAAGAUUACACAAUGGGCGGAAGCCUAAUGCAGCAACGCCGCGUGCGGGAUAACGGCCUUCGGGUUGUAAACCGCUUUCGCCUGUGACGAAGCGUGAGUGACGGUAAUGGGUAAAGAAGCCCCGGCUAACUACGUG
rnacentral:rRNA from 1 species